rnacentral:rRNA from 1 species
UGCAAGUCGAACGGCAGCAUGAUCUAGCUUGCUAGAUUGAUGGCGAGUGGCGAACGGGUGAGUAAUACAUCGGAACGUGCCCUGUAGUGGGGGAUAACUAGUCGAAAGAUUAGCUAAUACCGCAUACGACCUGAGGGUGAAAGUGGGGGACCGCAAGGCCUCAUGCUAUAGGAGCGGCCGAUGUCUGAUUAGCUAGUUGGUGAGGUAAAGGCUCACCAAGGCGACGAUCAGUAGCUGGUCUGAGAGGACGAUCAGCCACACUGGGACUGAGACACGGCCCAGACUCCUACGGGAGGCAGCAGUGGGGAAUUUUGGACAAUGGGCGAAAGCCUGAUCCAGCAAUGCCGCGUGUGUGAAGAAGGCCUUCGGGUUGUAAAGCACUUUUGUCCGGAAAGAAAUGGCUCUGGUUAAUACCUGGGGUCGAUGACGGUACCGGAAGAAUAAGGACCGGCUAACUACGUGCCAGCAGCCGCGGUAAUACGUAGGGUCCAAGCGUUAAUCGGAAUUACUGGGCGUAAAGCGUGCGCAGGCGGUUGUGCAAGACCGAUGUGAAAUCCCCGAGCUUAACUUGGGAAUUGCAUUGGUGACUGCACGGCUAGAGUGUGUCAGAGGGGGGUAGAAUUCCACGUGUAGCAGUGAAAUGCGUAGAGAUGUGGAGGAAUACCGAUGGCGAAGGCAGCCCCCUGGGAUAACACUGACGCUCAUGCACGAAAGCGUGGGGAGCAAACAGGAUUAGAUACCCUGGUAGUCCACGCCCUAAACGAUGUCAACUAGUUGUUGGGGAUUCAUUUCCUUAGUAACGUAGCUAACGCGUGAAGUUGACCGCCUGGGGAGUACGGUCGCAAGAUUAAAACUCAAAGGAAUUGACGGGGACCCGCACAAGCGGUGGAUGAUGUGGAUUAAUUCGAUGCAACGCGAAAAACCUUACCUACCCUUGACAUGCCACUAACGAAGCAGAGAUGCAUUAGUGCUC